ensembl:lncRNA
AACAGUCUUCAAAGCACCAGACUACAGGUCCAACUUGCAUAGUUUUUCAUAAUGAAUUUAGUCUUUCAAAAAGAUUAAUGCUUGGAUCCAAGUAUGAAGAGAUUCUGAUUUAGUUGUGGUUUGGGCAUUAGGAUACUUCCCAAGAGAUUUUAAUGUCCAGCUAAUGGUCCAUUCCUGUCUUUCCCUCACUUUAUUCUGGUCAUCGUCUUCUUCCCUUCCUGCCAUCCUCAUUGGGCUUUCUCAGAGUCCUCCAGGGUUGGAGCUAUGGACAGAGAGAAGAGAAGACAACAUCUUACCAGGGACAGAGAUAGAGUGCAGCAUGCUGUCUGCUCUAAAGAGCAAGAAAACAAAUGCCAAGCUUUAAUCAGACUGGUGUGGACCGUUGGAACUUUCGGAUCAUUUAGCCCUGCCUAACUAUGUCAUGCAGCUUCUCAUCGGAAUUAUCAACGCCUGCACCUAUGCUCUGCCAUGAAGAGGUUACAAAACACUGAAAAUGAGCAGCAAUUCUAGACUACCUUACCAUUCUUUUUCCACAUUCGUUAAAAAAAAAAAAAAAAAAAAAGUAACAGUUUCAAUCUAAUAUUACAGUGAAACUAGGAAUUAGAAUCCCUAUAGUGUGGAGUCAACCUUUCUCAACAGUCAAGCUUUUUUUCUUUCCCUUUCUUUUAAUUGUAGUUUGAUAACACUGAUAAGCCUAAGGCCAAAACUGAGGAAGAGAACAAAAAUACUAUUAAGAACUUAAAUCCUCUUGAAUCUUUAAAAGCUGCCUUUUAACAAAGAUCUUUGUUUUGAAAAUGCUCAGGUGUUAAUCCUUUUUAACCACAAAUUUUACUCAAUUCUUUGUAAUUAGAUACAAGUUCCCUGAUUUACAUUAAAGCCUGAAACUUCUGGUUCUCCAUUAGAAAUAUAAGGAGAUAUUUUAAAAUAUAAGGCUAUGGAUUUUUUUUGGGGAGGGGGCAUUGUAUUCUAUCCCUAAGAUUUCAUACUUCUUGACUCUCAGAGCAAUAAUUGAAAGUUCCUAUAGGAAUAGAACUUAAAUAUUUUUCCUAGUGCCAAAGAAAAAUUGCAUCGGACAAGAACUGGCAAGGAAGACUUUAUCCAAGACUGGCAAUAGGGGAGACAGGCUGAACUCAACUCCGCUGAAACAGAAAACAGGAGGGUUUUUAAAGUGCUGGGAUAAGCCAGGGGGAAGCACUGGAGGGAGUUAAGGGAAGUCAGCCAAUGUGAUUAAAGAGUCCGUGCUUGCUACUAAGCACUUAUAAAACUCAGGCUCCUUCUCCCCACCCUCCCUCCUCCACCCCAGACUUGAGAUAGGGAUCCUAUCCUUCUUGAAGAUUACAUUUCAAAGCCAUCACCCCUAGGUC